CUGCUUCGGCAGUACGUAUAAUAAAAUUGGAAAUAUACAGAGAUAACUAGCAUGACCCCUGCCUAAGGAUGACAAGUAAAAUCGUGAAGUGUUCCACAUGUUU